UGAGGUAAUGGCUCACCAAGGCGACGACGGGUAGCCGGCCUGAGAGGGCGACCGGCCACACUGGGACUGAGACACGGCCCAGACUCCUACGGGAGGCAGCAGUGGGGAAUAUUGCACAAUGGGCGAAAGCCUGAUGCAGCGACGCCGCGUGAGGGAUGACGGCCUUCGGGUUGUAAACCUCUUUCAGCAGGGAAGAAGCGAAAGUGACGGUACCUGCAGAAGAAGCGCCGGCUAACUACGUGCCAGCAGCCGCGGUAAUACGUAGGGCGCAAGCGUUGUCCGGAAUUAUUGGGCGUAAAGAGCUCGUAGGCGGCUUGUCACGUCGGGUGUGAAAGCCCGGGGCUUAACCCCGGGUCUGCAUUCGAUACGGGCUAGCUAGAGUGUGGUAGGGGAGAUCGGAAUUCCUGGUGUAGCGGUGAAAUGCGCAGAUAUCAGGAGGAACACCGGUGGCGAAGGCGGAUCUCUGGGCCAUUACUGACGCUGAGGAGC
rnacentral:rRNA from 1 species